rfam:Schistosoma curassoni strain Dakar, Senegal genome assembly, scaffold: SCTD_scaffold0008013
AUUCAGUUGAAGAGUCCCAAAUAGAACGAAACGCGUAUCCUAAAU